CCUACGGGUGGCAGCAGUGGGGAAUAUUCCGCAAUGGGCGAAACCCUGAUGGAGCAACGCCGCGUGAAGGAAGACGGUUUUCGGAUUGUAAACUUCUGUUCUUAGUGAAGAAUAAGGACGGUAGCUAAGGAGCACGCUACGACUAAAUAGGAGCAGGCAGCCGCGGUAAUACGUAGGUGGCAAGCGUUGUCCGGAAUUACUGGGUGGAAAGGGAGCGCAGGUGGGCAGUCAAGUCAGCUGUGAAAACUACGGGCUUAACUUGUAGACUGCAGUGGAAACUGGUUUACUUGAGGGCAGUAGAGGUGGGCGGAAGUCCGAGUGGAGCGGUGAAAUGCGUAGAUAUUCGGAGGAACACCGGUGGCGAAAGCGGCCAUCUGGUCUUUAACUGACGCUGAGGCUCGAAAGUGUGGGUAGCAAACAGGAUUAGAUACCCGUGUAGUC
rnacentral:rRNA from 1 species